UUUCCGUAGGUGAACCUGCGGAAGGAUCAUUCAUUAUAAAGUGUUUUAUGGCACUUUUUAAAAAUCCAUAUCCACCUUGUGUGCAAUGUUAGAUCUCGUCAAUCUUGGCGAGAUUUUUAUACAUCAACUCAUUCUUUAACUAAUUUGUCUGAAAAAUAUUAUGAAUACUUAAUUCAAAAUACAACUUUCAACAACGGAUCUCUUGGCUCUC
rnacentral:misc_RNA from 1 species